rnacentral:rRNA from 1 species
GACGAACGCUGGCGGCGUGCUUAACACAUGCAAGUCGAACGGAAAGGCCCUGCUUGCAGGGUACUCGAGUGGCGAACGGGUGAGUAACACGUGGGUGAUCUGCCCUGCACUUCGGGAUAAGCUUGGAAACUGGGUCUAAUACCGGAUAGGAGCCAUCUUUAGUGUGGUGGUUGGAAAGUUUUUUCGGUGUAGGAUGAGCUCGCGGCCUAUCAGCUUGUUGGUGGGGUAAUGGCCUACCAAGGCGGCGACGGGUAGCCGGCCUGAGAGGGUGUACGGCCACAUUGGGACUGAGAUACGGCCCAGACUCCUACGGGAGGCAGCAGUGGGGAAUAUUGCACAAUGGGCGCAAGCCUGAUGCAGCGACGCCGCGUGGGGGAUGAAGGCCUUCGGGUUGUAAACUCCUUUCGCUAGGGACGAAGCUUUUUUGUGACGGUACCUAGAUAAGAAGCACCGGCUAACUACGUG